rnacentral:rRNA from 1 species
GACGAACGCUGGCGGCGUGCUUAACACAUGCAAGUCGAACGGACAGGCUCCAGCUUGCUGGCGUACUCGAGUGGCGAACGGGUGAGUAACACGUGGGUAAUCUGCCCUUCACUCUCGGAUAAGCCUUGGGAACUGGGGCUAUUACUGGGUAUGAUCUUUCUCCUCAUGGGGUUCGGUGGAAAGUUUUUCUGUUUAGGUUGCGUAUGCGGCCUAUCGGCUUGCAAGUGGGGUGAGGGCCUACCAAGGCGACGCCGGGUAGCCCACCUGAGAGGGUGAACGGGCACAUGAGGACUGAGAUACGGCGCAGACGCGUACGGGAGGCAGCGGUGGGGAAUAUGGCACAAUGGGCGGAAGUCUGAUGCAGCGACGCCGCGUGAGGGAUGACGGGCUUCGGGGUGUAAACAUCUGUCAGCAUAGACGAAGCGUAAGUGACGGUACCUGCAGAAAAAGCACCGGCUAACUACGUG